GACGAACGCUGGCGGCGUGCUUAACACAUGCAAGUCGAGCGGAAAGGCCACUUCGGUGGUACUCGAGCGGCGAACGGGUGAGUAACACGUGAGUAAUCUGCCCUUCACUUCGGGAUAGCUCCGGGAAACCGGGAUUAAUACCGGAUAUGACUGUGCCUGGCAUCGGGUGUGGUGGAAAGUUUUUUCGGUGGAGGAUGUGCUCGCGGCCUAUCAGCUUGAUGGUGGGGUAAUGGCCUACCAUGGCUUCGACGGGUAGCCGGCCUGAGAGGGUGACCGGCCACACUGGGACUGAGACACGGCCCAGACUCCUACGGGAGGCAGCAGUGGGGAAUAUUGGACAAUGGGCGGAAGCCUGAUCCAGCAACGCCGCGUGAGGGAUGACGGCCUUCGGGUUGUAAACCUCUUUCAGCACAGACGAAGCGAAAGUGACGGUAUGUGCAGAAGAAAGACCGGCCCACUACGUGCCAGCAGCCGCGGUAAUACGUAGGGUCCGAGCGUUGUCCGGAAUUAUUGGGCGUAAAGGGCUCNAGGCGGUUUGUCGCGUCGGGAGUGAAAACCGGGUGCUUAACACCUGGCUUGCUUUCGAUACGGGCAGACUGGAGGCAUGCAGGGGAGAACGGAAUUCCUGGUGUAGCGGUGAAAUGCGCAGAUAUCAGGAGGAACACCGGUGGCGAAGGCGGUUCUCUGGGCAUGUCCUGACGCUGAGGAGCGAAAGUGUGGGGAGCGAACAGGAUUAGAUACCCUGGUAGUCCACACCGUAAACGUUGGGCGCUAGGUGUGGGAUCCAUUCCACGGGUUCCGUGCCGCAGCUAACGCAUUAAGCGCCCCGCCUGGGGAGUACGGCCGCAAGGCUAAAACUCAAAGGAAUUGACGGGGGCCCGCGCAAGCGGCGGAGCAUGCGGAUUAAUUCGAUGCAACGCGAAGAACCUUACCUGGGUUUGACAUACGCCGGACCUCUCCAGAGAUGGGGAUUCUUUUUGUCGGUGUACAGGUGGUGCAUGGCUGUCGUCAGCUCGUGUCGUGAGAUGUUGGGUUAAGUCCCGCAACGGGCGCAACCCUUGUCACAUGUUGCCAGCAUGCCCUUCGGGGUGAUGGGGACUCAUGUGAGACUGCCGGGGUCAACUCGGAGGAAGGUGGGGAUGACGUCAAGUCAUCAUGCCCCUUAUGUCCAGGGCUUCACGCAUGCUACAAUGGCCGGUACAGAGGGCUGCGAUCCCGUGAGGGGGAGCGAAUCCCAAAAAGCCGGUCUCAGUUCGGAUUGGGGUCUGCAACUCGACCCCAUGAAGUCGGAGUCGCUAGUAAUCGCAGAUCAGCAACGCUGCGGUGAAUACGUUCCCGGGCCU
rnacentral:rRNA from 1 species